rnacentral:rRNA from 1 species
AGAGUUUGAUCAUGGCUCAGGACGAACGCUUGCGACGUGCCUAAGAAAUGCAAGUCGAACGAGGUAGCAAUACCUAGUGGCGAACGGUCGCGUAACACGUGGGCAACCUGCCCUAGAGUGGGGGAUAACAAUCCGAAAGGAUUGCUAAUACCGCAUGUGAAUACUGAAGGCAUCUUUGGCUAUUCAAAGGAUUUAUUCGCUCUAGGAUGGGCCCGCGGCCUAUCAGCUAGUUGGUGAGGUAACGGCCCACCAAGGCUUCGACGGGUAGCUGGUCUGAGAGGACGAUCAGCCGGAUUGGGACUGAGAUACGGCCCAGACUCCUACGGGGGGCAGCAAUUAGGAAUCUUGCGCAAUGGGGGGAACCCUGACGCAGCGACGUCGCGUGAAGGAUGAAAUCUUUCGGGAUGUAAACUUCUUUUAUCAGGGAAGAAACAAAUGACGGUACCUGAUGAAUAAGCCCCGGCUAACUACGUGCCAGCAGCCGCGGUAAUACGUAGGGGGCGAGCGUUGUCCGAAGUUACUGGGCGUAAAGCGCGUGUAGGCGGGUUCUUAAGUGAGUGGUGAAAGGUUUGGGCUUAACCCAGACACUGCCUUUCAUACUGGGAACCUUGAGUGCGGGAGAGGCGAGUGGAAUGGUCGGUGUAGCGGUGAAAUGCGUAGAUAUCGAUCGGAACACCCAUGGCGAAAGCAGCUCGCUGGCCUGUAACUGACGCUGAGACGCGAAAGCGUGGGGAGCAAACAGGAUUAGAUACCCUGGUAGUCCACGCCGUAAACGAUGAGUGCUAGUGUCAGGGGUAUCGACCCCCCUGGUGCCGCAGCUAACGCAAUAAGCACUCCGCCUGGGGAGUACGGCCGCA